CCCUUAACUCAAAUCCAUCCGCCAGAUAAUUUUCCUACUUUUUCCUAAGGGAGGAGACGAGUCGCCUGGAAGAGAGGGGAGCUGAUUUUUUAGGGUUCUUUCUUCGGCUCUGAGGAACUUGGGGCUCAGUGGCAGAGCCUAACUGGGCCGCGGGAGGUGGGGCCGAGGGAACUACUUUCAGCAGCGUACGGACACGGCGGCUACGUAGGCAGUGAUGAGUGACGCAACAGACGCCGCAUAAAUUUCAGCCCCGCGGAGCUGCGAGCGUUCAGGAGCGGCUGGCGUUGUCGGGUGUUGGUGUCUUGGCGUCCGGGUGACUCGGCGUGAUUGCGUCCGGUGUCCUUGCAUUCGCUAACAGGUCAAAAUGCAGAUCUUCGUGAAGACCUUGACUGGCAAGACCAUCACCCUGGAGGUGGAGCCCAGUGACACCAUC